UACGGAGGGGACUAGCGUUGUUCGGAAUUACUGGGCGUAAAGCGCACGUAGGCGGAUUUGCAAGUCAGGGGUGAAAUCCCGGGGCUCAACCUCGGAACUGCCUUUGAUACUGCAAAUCUCGAGUCCGGAAGAGGUGAGUGGGAUUCCUAGUGUAGAGGUGAAAUUCGUAGAUAUUAGGAAGAACACCAGUGGCGAAGGCGGCUCACUGGUCCGGUACUGACGCUGAGGUGCGAAAGCGUGGGGAGCAAACAGG
rnacentral:rRNA from 1 species